UUGAACGCUGGCGGCAUGCCUUACCCCUGCAAGUCGAACGGUAACAGGUCUUCGGAUGCUGACGAGUGGCGAACGGGUGAGUAAUACAUCGGAACGUGCCCGAUCGUGGGGGAUAACGGAGCGAAAGCUUUGCUAAUACCGCAUACGAUCUACGGAUGAAAGCAGGGGACCGCAAGGCCUUGCGCGGACGGAGCGGCCGAUGGCAGAUUAGGUAGUUGGUGGGAUAAAAGCUUACCAAGCCGACGAUCUGUAGCUGGUCUGAGAGGACGACCAGCCACACUGGGACUGAGACACGGCCCAGACUCCUACGGGAGGCAGCAGUGGGGAAUUUUGGACAAUGGGCGAAAGCCUGAUCCAGCCAUGCCGCGUGCAGGAUGAAGGCCUUCGGGUUGUAAACUGCUUUUGUACGGAACGAAAAGACUCUUUCUAAUAAAGAGGGUCCAUGACGGUACCGUAAGAAUAAGCACCGGCUAACUACGUG
rnacentral:rRNA from 1 species